rnacentral:rRNA from 1 species
AGAGUUUGAUCCUGGCUCAGAUUGAACGCUGGCGGCAUGCCUUACACAUGCAAGUCGAACGGCAGCAUGAUCUAGCUUGCUAGAUUGAUGGCGAGUGGCGAACGGGUGAGUAAUACAUCGGAACGUGCCCUGUAGUGGAGGAUAACUAGUCGAAAGAUUAGCUAAUACCGCAUACGACCUGAGGGUGAAAGUGGGGGACCGCAAGGCCUCAUGCUAUAGGAGCGGCCGAUGUCUGAUUAGCUAGUUGGUGGGGUAAAGGCCCACCAAGGCGACGAUCAGUAGCUGGUCUGAGAGGACGAUCAGCCACACUGGGACUGAGACACGGCCCAGACUCCUACGGGAGGCAGCAGUGGGGAAUUUUGGACAAUGGGCGAAAGCCUGAUCCAGCAAUGCCGCGUGUGUGAAGAAGGCCUUCGGGUUGUAAAGCACUUUUGUCCGGAAAGAAAUGGCUCUGGUUAAUACCUGGGGUCGAUGACGGUACCGGAAGAAUAAGGACCGGCUAACUACGUGCCAGCAGCCGCGGUAAUACGUAGGGUCCAAGCGUUAAUCGGAAUUACUGGGCGUAAAGCGUGCGCAGGCGGUUGUGCAAGACCGAUGUGAAAUCCCCGAGCUUAACUUGGGAAUUGCAUUGGUGACUGCACGGCUAGAGUGUGUCAGAGGGGGGUAGAAUUCCACGUGUAGCAGUGAAAUGCGUAGAGAUGUGGAGGAAUACCGAUGGCGAAGGCAGCCCCCUGGGAUAACACUGACGCUCAUGCACGAAAGCGUGGGGAGCAAACAGGAUUAGAUACCCUGGUAGUCCACGCCCUAAACGAUGUCAACUAGUUGUUGGGGAUUCGUUUCCUUAGUAACGUAGCUAACGCGUGAAGUUGACCGCCUGGGGAGUACGGUCGCAAGAUUAAAACUCAAAGGAAUUGACGGG